rnacentral:siRNA from 1 species
ACACCAACUGAACUUCGACGCUCC